UGUUGGGAAGGUCUUUAGGUGUCUGCUCAUUGAAGCCGUCCCAGGGAAAGCCCUCAGAGGAGAUACCGAGUCCGGAGUUUCUUGCUUCCGAUGCGUUCGUGGUCUAACUUCACAAACAUACCCGCGGACCUUUGCGGCAAGUGUUACAGCUCUUAAAGACGGUGCGUCCGGAUGCUCCGGUGAGUUUGUAGUCUCACUGACUUCACGAAUAAACCCGCGGACCCUCACGGUAAGUGUGACAGCUCUUAAAGGUGAUGUGGUGAAUUUUAAAGCCCUUAAAAGUGGUAUGGACCCAAACGGUGAGCAGCAGCAAGAUUUACUGUCACGAGCAAAAUAACAAAGCCUCCGCAAUGCGGAAGACAAC
rnacentral:lncRNA from 1 species